rnacentral:rRNA from 1 species
GAUCAUGGCUUAGGAUGAACGCUAGCUACAGGCUUAACACAUGCAAGUCGCGGGGCAGCAUGUCGGUUGCUUGCAACCGAUGAUGGCGACCGGCGCACGGGUGAGUAACGCGUAUCCAACCUGCCCUUCACCACGGAAUAAUCCAGUGAAAAUUGGUCUAAUACCGUAUGAGGUCAUACGAUGGCAUCAGAAUAUGACGAAAGGUUUAGCGGUGAAGGAUGGGGAUGCG